GACGAACGCUGGCGGCGUGCCUAACACAUGCAAGUCGAGCGAAUGAAGUUCCUUCGGGAACAGAUUUAGCGGCGGACGGGUGAGUAACACGUGGGCAACCUGCCUCAUAGAGGGGAAUAGCCUUCCGAAAGGGAGAUUAAUACCGCAUAAGAUUGUAGUACCGCAUGGUACAGCAAUUAAAGGAGCAAUCCGCUAUGAGAUGGGCCCGCGGCGCAUUAGCUAGUUGGUGAGGUAACGGCUCACCAAGGCGACGAUGCGUAGCCGACCUGAGAGGGUGAUCGGCCACAUUGGGACUGAGACACGGCCCAGAGUCCUACGGGAGGCAGCAGUGGGGAAUAUUGCACAAUGGGGGAAACCCUGAUGCAGCAACGCCGCGUGAGUGAUGACGGCCUUCGGGUUGUAAAGCUCUGUCUUCAGGGACGAUAAUGACGGUACCUGAGGAGGAAGCCACGGCUAACUACGUGCCAGCAGCCGCGGUAACAC
rnacentral:rRNA from 1 species